rnacentral:rRNA from 1 species
AGAGUUUGAUCCUGGCUCAGAUUGAACGCUGGCGGCAGGCCUAACACAUGCAAGUCGAGCGGAUGAGUGGAGCUUGCUCCAUGAUUCAGCGGCGGACGGGUGAGUAAUGCCUAGGAAUCUGCCUGGUAGUGGGGGACAACGUUUCGAAAGGAACGCUAAUACCGCAUACGUCCUACGGGAGAAAGCAGGGGACCUUCGGGCCUUGCGCUAUCAGAUGAGCCUAGGUCGGAUUAGCUAGUAGGUGAGGUAAUGGCUCACCUAGGCGACGAUCCGUAACUGGUCUGAGAGGAUGAUCAGUCACACUGGAACUGAGACACGGUCCAGACUCCUACGGGAGGCAGCAGUGGGGAAUAUUGGACAAUGGGCGAAAGCCUGAUCCAGCCAUGCCGCGUGUGUGA